UACGAAGGUGGCAAGCGUUACUCGGAAUUACUAGGCGUAAAGGGCAGGUAGGUGGUCUGGUUAGUCUGUUGUGAAAGCUCCUUGCUUAACGGGGAGAGGCCAACAGAUACUGCCAGGCUUGAGUAUAGGAGAGGGUACUGGAAUUCCCGGUGUAGCGGUGAAAUGCGCAGAGAUCGGGAGGAACACCAAUGGCGAAAGCAGGUACCUGGACUAUUACUGACACUCAGCUGCGAAAGCUAGGGGAGCAAACAGG
rnacentral:rRNA from 1 species